rnacentral:rRNA from 1 species
GCUGUUCGCCAAUUAAAGCGGUACGCGAGCUGGGUUCAGAACGUCGUGAGACAGUUCGGUCUCCUAUCUACCACGGGCGUCGAAGAUUGAGGGAACUCGCCCCUAGUACGAGAGGACCGGGGUGAACGCACCUCUCGUGUACCGGUUGUUCUGCCAAGGGCAUUGCCGGGUAGCGACGUGCGGUUCGGAUAAGCGCUGAAGGCAUCUAAGCACGAAGCCGAUCCCAAGAUUAAUCUUCAUUUGAGCCUCCUGCGAGAUGAGCAGGUUGAUAGGCGGUAGGUGUAAGCGUGGUAACACGUUGAGCCGAGCCGUACUAAUAAGGCAAGCUCUACA